rnacentral:rRNA from 1 species
CAGCCGCCACGGUAAUACGGAGGGUGCAAGCGUUAUCCGGAUUCACUGGGUUUAAAGGGUGCGUAGGCGGGCAGGUAAGUCAGUGGUGAAAUCUUCGAGCUUAACUCGGAAACUGCCGUUGAUACUAUCUGUCUUGAAUAACGUUGAGGUGAGCGGAAUAUGUCAUGUAGCGGUGAAAUGCUUAGAUAUGACAUAGAACACCGAUUGCGAAGGCAGCUCACUAAACGCUCAUUGACGCUGAGGCACGAAAGCGUGGGGAUCAAACAGGAUUAGAUACCCCAGUAGUCCCUGUCUCUUAUAC